UACGGAGGGAGCUAGCGUUGUUCGGAAUUACUGGGCGUAAAGCGCACGUAGGCGGCUAUUCAAGUCAGAGGUGAAAGCCCGGGGCUCAACUCCGGAACUGCCUUUGAAACUAGAUAGCUAGAAUCUUGGAGAGGUCAGUGGAAUUCCGAGUGUAGAGGUGAAAUUCGUAGAUAUUCGGAAGAACACCAGUGGCGAAGGCGACUGACUGGACAAGUAUUGACGCUGAGGUGCGAAAGCGUGGGGAGCAAACAGG
rnacentral:rRNA from 1 species